rnacentral:rRNA from 1 species
UACGUAGGGGCAAGCGUUAUCCGGAUUCACUGGGUGUAAAGGGAGCGUAGACGGCCAUGCAAGCCUGGAGUGAAAGCCCGGGGCCCAACCCCGGGACUGCUCUGGGAACUGUGCGGCUGGAGUGCGGGAGGGGCAGGCGGAAUUCCUGGUGUAGCGGUGAAAUGCGUAGAUAUCAGGAGGAACACCGGCGGCGAAGGCGGCCUGCUGGACCGCGACUGACGUUGAGGCUCGAAAGCGUGGGGAGCAAACAGG